CCUACGGGCGGCAGCAGUGGGGGAUAUUGCACAAUGGGGGAAACCCUGAUGCAGCGACGCCGCGUGAGUGAAGAAGUAUUUCGGUAUGUAAAGCUCUAUCAGCAGGGAAGAAAAUGACAGUACCUGACCAAGAAGCCCCGGCUAACUACGUGCCAGAAGCCGCGGUAAUACGUAGGGGGCAAGCGUGAUCCGGGUUUACGGGGUGUAAGGGGAGCGUAGACGGUUUGGCAAGCCAGAUGUGAAAGGCUGGGGCGCAACCCCAGGACUGCAUUUGGAACUGUCAGGCUAGAGUGUCGGAGAGGCAGGCGGAAUUCCUAGUGUAGCGGUGAAAUGCGUAGAUAUUAGGAGGAACACCAGUGGCGAAGGCGGCCUGCUGGACGAUGACUGACGUUGAGGCUCGAAAGCGUGGGGAGCAAACAGGAUUAGAUACCCUUGUAGUC
rnacentral:rRNA from 1 species